ensembl:lncRNA
CUCGCAGCUGUCCUGCAGCCCUAAACCUCACUUUCCCUUUCCGGUGUGUUUCACAGGUAGAAAGUGCAGCAUCCAGAUAGCUGGCAUCUGACAAAAGAGCUGUCGUGCCUGUAGCUUAUUAGAAAGGACAGAGAGAAGAGCACGUGGAGUGCAAAUGGUCUCACUGAGCAUCUGUGGAUGGGAAACUGAAAGCUGUUGAUGAAAUGGAUGGAUUCUCUUGCUUCAGUUAAUAUGCUACUUCUGUAGUAGUGUGAGGUGAUAGUGACCAGAGGCUGACAACAGGAAUGAAGCCUGGGAGAUGGCCUGUGCAAUAUGAUACACAAUGGGAGCUUUUUCUCAUCAGGCAAUCCACUGUGUAGAAUGUGCCUCUUGCUUCCCCUCCUGAAAUGCUCACCCUACUGCACUGGCAGGGACCCCCAGUCUUUGUGCCAGCAUGGAGAAAAACCCAGAAGGAGUUUACAGCCCAGUGGCCAAAGCUCAGCAGGGUUUUCACAGCCGGUGGGCAUUUGGAGUGAAGGGUUUGGAUAUCAGAUUUCAAUGACAGUGAUAUUUAUGGAUGCUCUGACUAAUCUCUGUGCCUGGGACAUAACAACUAUAUCCAAAAACAUUGGCAAAUACUUCUUUUGUUUUGUUUUGUUAAGAAUUAUAACUACUCCCAUCUCACCUGGAACUAGUGCAUGAGCAAAGUUCAUCAUGACAUUUCAGCAACGUCAGUGCUGUUAUUGGACAGCCCUACCAGUGAGCAAAAUGGAAGCAAAGGAGGAAAAAAUGAGUGAUCAAAAUUUUCCAAACUCUCACAAAACUUGUUUCAAGCAGUGG